GUAUUGGUGUGCUGGAUAUCCCUUCACUGGUAGCCUGGUAACAUACACUCCCAGGUCUUUCUCUGCCUCUGUGGUGGAUAGUGGAGUGUUUCUCAUGUGGUAUUGGUGUGCUGGAUAUCCCUUCACUGGUAGCCUGGUAACAUACACUCCCAGGUCUUUCUCUGCCUCUGUGGUGGAUAGUGGAGUGUUUGCCAUGUGGUAUUGGUGUGCUGGAUAUCCCUUCACUGGUAGCCUGGUAACAUACACUCCCAGGUCUUUCUCUGCCUCUGUGGUGGAUAGUGGAGUGUUUGCCAUGUGGUAUUGGUGUGCUGGAUAUCCCUUCACUGGUAGCCUGGUAACAUACACUCCCAGGUCUUUCUCUGCCUCUGUGGUGGAUAGUGGAGUGUUUCCCAUGUGGUAUUGGUGUGCUGGAUAUCCCUUCACUGGUAGCCUGGUAACAUACACUCCCAGGUCUUUCUCUGCCUCUGUGGUGGAUAGUGGAGUGUUUCCUAUGUGGUAUUGGUGUGCUGGAUAUCCCUUCACUGGUAGCCUGGUAACAUACACUCCCAGGUCUUUCUCUGCCUCUGUGGUGGAUAGUGGAGUGUUUGCCAUGUGGUAUUGGUGUGCUGAAUAUCCCCUCCAAAGGUGCAGGACUUAGC